ACGUGAUCUGAGUUCAGACCGGAGUAAUCCAGGUCAGUUUCUAUCUAUAAAGGGGUUUUUUCUAGUACGAAAGGACCGAAAAAGCAUGGCCAAUACUUCAUGCAAGCCAUAAUUAUCAACUUAUGAUAAAAUCUUAAUAAGUAAUUAAACCAACAAUGAGCUCAAAAAAAGGGCA
rnacentral:rRNA from 1 species